UACGUAGGGGGCUAGCGUUGUCCGGAUUUAUUGGGCGUAAAGAGCGCGUAGGCGGCCGAGUAAGUCCGACGUGAAAUCUGGAGGCUCAACCUCCAGCGGUCGUUGGAAACUACUUGGCUAGAGUCCGGAAGAGGAGAGUGGAAUUCCUGGUGUAGCGGUGAAAUGCGCAGAUAUCAGGAAGAACACCGAUGGCGAAAGCAGCUCUCUGGGACGGUACUGACGCUGAGGCGCGAAAGCGUGGGGAGCGAACAGG
rnacentral:rRNA from 1 species